rnacentral:tRNA from 1 species
GUGGUUAUAGCCCAGUUGGUUAGAGCGCCAGGUUGUGGCCCUGGAGGCCGUGGGUUCGAGUCCCACUAAUCACCCCA